UACGGAGGGUGCGAGCGUUGUCCGGAAUCACUGGGCGUAAAGGGCGCGUAGGCGGCCUGAUAAGUAGGGGGUGAAAUCCUGCGGCUUAACCGCAGGGCUGCCUUCUAAACUGUCAGGCUUGAGCACAGUAGAGGCAGGUGGAAUUCCCGGUGUAGCGGUGGAAUGUGUAGAGAUCGGGAGGAACACCGGUGGCGAAGGCGGUCUUCUGGACGGUGACUGACGCUGAGGCGCGAAAGCGUGGGGAGCAAACGGG
rnacentral:rRNA from 1 species